GAGUUGUUUGUAUGUAAGUGUCAAAAUGAUAGUAUAGGGAAAGGUCAGGUGGUGGGAUGUAUGCAUUAAGAAUUUUGUUAGUGUUGCAAUCUAAAUCGAAUGGAAUAAACAGGUAUUAAGACAUUUAUAGUGAUAAAUUGUUGUAGUAUGGUAUUCUGUAAACUCGAAAACUUGAUCUACUCUGUAGGUAUCAUUUGAAAACAAACUUGAAAGUACUUUGUACAUAGUACAUACUUGUAUAGUCCUGUGAAAUGAAGUAUGGCUGUCAGACCAAAGGAUAAGCCAAGCUCUAGGUAGCAGAAUGGAAAUUACUAGUUUGAGAGGAAAAUUUGUCUUCGAAUGGUGACUAUGACUUAAUCAUUUUAAAACUGAUAAACUUGACAAAAACCAUGUAUGAAAUAAACAUAAACUUAAUAGCACUGAUUUCAUUGUAGAAUUUUAAAAUAGUUUAAAGGGUACCACAGGUUAUCACAGUACGUACGCAAUGCCACAAACAUCUCUUGUUCAGUAUUCUGGAAAUACUGAAACUUUUGUUUUUGUUAUAAUCUCAGCAUACUGUACAUAAUAUCUGCUGGUUAAACUUGGGUAAUUGGUUAAGAUGACUUACUGUCUGUGUUGAUAUGUAUAGUUCUGAGCACUUGAAGAGCUUGCUUAAAAGUGAUGGUGGUGCCAGGUGCAGUGGCUCACGCCUGUAAUCCCAGCACUU